UGUAAAAGCCCGCAUGAUGGUUCCCGUAAGGGAAGAAACAGGGAAGCACGGUGCGUGGCGCGGCAUGUUGCCGCCCGCAAUGCCGUCACUGCCCCCGCAACUGUAGGUGGUCUCAAACAUCCGGCAGGCCGUCCCUUUACAAAAGGGUGCGGCACGUCACUGGCCAGUCUGGCCGGGAAGGCGCCGGAUGCGGCGGCAGGGACACUGUCCAUGCCCCGGCCACAAGUCAGGAGACCUGCCAUCAUCGUCAUGUCCCA
rnacentral:ncRNA from 2 species